GAUGAAGAACGCAGCGAAAUGCGAUAAGUAAUGUGAAUUGCAGAAUUCAGUGAAUCAUCGAAUCUUUGAACGCACAUUGCGCCCCUUGGUAUUCCGAGGGGCAUGCCUGUUCGAGCGUCAUUAUAACCCCUCAAGCUCAGCUUGGUGUUGGGGCCUGCUGCACUGGCAGCCCUUAAAAUCAGUGGCGGCGCCAUCUGGCUCUAAGCGUAGUAAUUCUUCUCGCUAUGGAGUCCUGGUGGAUGCUUGCCAUCAACCCCCAAUUUUUCUAUGGUUGACCUUGGAUCAGGUAGGGAUACCCGCUGAACUUAAGCAUAUCAAUAAGCGGAGGA
rnacentral:misc_RNA from 1 species